UACAGAGGUGGCAAGCGUUGUUCGGAAUUACUGGGCGUAAAGGGCGCGUAGGCGGUUCGUUAAGUCCUGUGUGAAAUCCCCAGGCUUAACCUGGGAACUGCGUCUGAUACUGGAAGGCUCGAGUUCGGGAGAGGAAUGUGGAAUUCCAGGUGUAGCGGUGAAAUGCGUAGAUAUCUGGAGGAACACCGGUGGCGAAGGCGGCAUUCUGGACCGAAACGUGACGCUGAGGCGCGAAAGCCAGGGGAGCCAAAGCGGG
rnacentral:rRNA from 1 species